CGGACGGGUGAGUAAUGUCUGGGAAACUGCCUGAUGGAGGGGGAUAACUACUGGAAACGGUAGCUAAUACCGCAUAACGUCGCAAGACCAAAGAGGGGGACCUUCGGGCCUCUUGCCAUCAGAUGUGCCCAGAUGGGAUUAGCUAGUAGGUGGGGUAACGGCUCACCUAGGCGACGAUCCCUAGCUGGUCUGUGAGGAUGACCAGCCACACUGGAACUGAGACACGGUCCAGACUCCUACGGGAGGCAGCAUG
rnacentral:rRNA from 1 species